AGCGAUGCGCCACUCGAUGGAGAGCUUCAAACACCCGCCUUUCUUUCUCUGACCCACGAAUCUGUAGCUUGCCGCCUCUGGUUGCGAAUCGCUGCUGCCUAGGUUGUGCGACUCCACUCCGACACCACCGUCAAGCAGGAUGUCGUCGCCACUCGCUGGAUCUACUAGUUUGGAUACAAAGUUUGGAGGCAUUUUAAAGUCUUUUGGGUGCUACUGACAAGAUUAUGAGUUCCGUCAAUUUUGGUUCAGUUUGGACAAAUAAAUAGAACUUUGGAACUGGCCUCGAACCA